AGCAAAAUCACCAGUGUUAAAUUUUCAGGGAUGGUGUUAAAUACACAGUGUUGAUGCUGUUUUAACACUAUCUGGUAAUAAAAUAACACUGCCAUUGCUAGGCCAGUGUUAUAUUCACGACAGUGUCAGUGUAAAACAAGGGUGUUAUCAGAUUUCACUCUGAGCGGUGUAAAUCAAGCCACGCCUCCACUAAACAUAUCCUGUCAGGGAUUUUACCGCCAUUUUCUUUCACAGGAGGACUGAAGAGAUCAGAUGCUAGUUUGAUGAAAGUUCACACUGAGUGCUUCAAAUCAUUCAGAAGAGAUGCUGUUUUUAGGGCAGUUUAUUAAAGAAGACCUGACAUGGAUGACUUCCAAUGAGAAACGACUGCUAAUACUUAUAUAAAUUCAUUACAGAAGGACCCUACCAGACUAUAUUUGAAUACGGCAUACCCAUGAAUUCUGGAACUGUUAUUCCUUAACCCAGUUUGGAGGAUAAGAGCUUACCAACUAGUUAUAAAUAUGCUGAGGUGAUGUAUUGCAAAAUAGCCAACAUACAACAAUAUGGAUGACCCUCUGUCUGGUCAACAGGAGUUUAAAUAUGGACGGGACAGUGAUGUGGCAGCUCUUCCCUGGCUCAUUCACCUCUUGCCUUCAUUUGUGAAAGGAAGAAAGACUGGAGAGGGUCAAUGUGCAACUGAAGCUACUGAUUGUGCUGUGUGAUGAGCAUCAAUCCAUGCUUUGAGGUGGAUGAAUCAGCACAUCCCUGCCUGCACUGCGUUGGGAACAGAAGUUGCAUCCAGAAUUUUUGCAUCAUUCUGGACCAAAAAGCCAUUCCCUCCAUGAUGAAGACCACUGAUGCAGCCUUCCACUACAUCAUGAGUAAAACAACUACAGAACUAAAUACCAGGUUGGAACGUAUUUAAGAAAAAUGAAACGUCUUUUGAAUUGAAAUGUCUGUUUUGUUAUGGAAAAAUCUUUAGUAUUGUGAAGGAUAAGCAUUUCUGCCUGCCAGUAAGGUAAUUGCAGUGUAUUUUAAUGUUCAAGUUUUGAGUAGGGUGGCUAAUUUUUUUAACUCUCAUUUGAUAUAUUAAAGACCUUAUAAUAAGUGGUUUUCAUGUCACUGCG